GGAUCCCAUCAGAAGCUCCGAAGUUAAACGUGCUUGGGCGAGAGAGUAGUAUUAGGAUGGGUGACCUCCUGGGAAGUCCUCGUGUUGCAUUCCCUUUUUAAUAUAUUUUUGCUCCACGCGAGAAAGAUGCGUACGUGCGCGGAAUAUAUUAAGCACGGUUCCUUAUUUCCGACUUCUCGUGCUGAUCAGUUUGAUAUAUUAUACGGUUUUUUUCGACAUCGUAUGCAAAAGUUAUAGCCGUUUUACUUUUUCAUAACACUUUUUUGCAAAACAUGUCAAAAUUUAUGUUUUUGAAUUUUCCUAACUAAUAGAUGUAGUAACAUAAAUACAUCUCGAAGGAUUUUAAUUUUUGAAGUUUUUAUCAUUUUCUUUUCUUUUUUUCAAAACUAAAAUGGCGAUAGGGGGGGGCAGCAUAAUGGACGAAGGCGGGGGUAACAUGUCGGAUGCGAUCAUACCAGCACUAAAGCACC
rnacentral:rRNA from 1 species